GGGAAUGUAGCUUAGUGGUAGAGUGCUUGCCUUGCAUGCAUGAAGCCCUGGGUUCGAUUCCUCAGUACCA
rnacentral:tRNA from 1 species